ACUUUCACACUUAGGGACUCUGUGUUGCCCUUCUAUUCUGCUUCUUCAAUGGAGAGGUUCUGGGCGUCCUUCGCAAGACCCUGUCACAGUCACCUUGGUUUUCGUACGAGGGCCGACGGAUGUCUUAUGCAAAUACGAGUAUAAGCCGCCGCUAUCACAGCUUGCGCUCCAAACUUUCCUCGCCAUCAGCACCAGGUCCUCCGCAUUCAUUUUAUGCCAAGGCACUCACCUGACGGCAGAAGUCCGUCGGCUUCGCCCAACCAUCAGCAGACCAUGCUGUAAGACGCCGAGUGUAGAAGACUCAAGGGUUUCGUGCUCCUUUAGUGUGUUUGGUCGAACUGCAUCGCAGUGCUAUGCACGCAGUCGCACAAGCCUGGUGACACAUGCAAUCAUCUUCAAGGAUGUCGGUUCUUGGAAGCAAAGACCCCGGUUGUCACGGUGGACGUUAGGAUUAACACCACCGACCCUAUGUCAUCGCUGCUGCACAAUGUUUGUUACUUCAUCGUGGUGUUCUUUUUCCCGCGAAUGAAUAUACGUACUUUUGUCUGUACUUGUAUUUAAUGAGAAUAUCCCAGAAGCAUUCCAAUAUUUUGUGAAAACUAGCUUUGAGCGCAUGUCAUCAUUGCGCAGAAGCAACAUUUGCGCUUUGAGGCUCCGGACAAACGGAGCGAGCUGCUCUGACCGCAUCAGCGGCUCAAAGUUGCUUAAGUAAACAUGGUUUGUGAUUGACCAUUACCAAUUUUCCUGAAGUUCGGUAUAAUAAAAUGCUAUUAAAC